UACGGAGGGUGCAAGCGUUGUCCGGAAUCACUGGGCGUAAAGGGCGCGUAGGCGGGCCUGAAAGUCAGGGGUGAAAGCCCACGGCUCAACCGUGGAAGUGCCUCUGAUACUUCAGGCCUCGAGGGAGGUAGGGGCGUGCGGAACUUCCGGUGGAGCGGUGAAAUGCGUAGAUAUCGGAAGGAACGUCGGUGGCGAAAGCGGCGCGCUGGACCUCUUCUGACGCUGAGGCGCGAAAGCCAGGGGAGCGAACGGG
rnacentral:rRNA from 1 species